rnacentral:sRNA from 1 species
AAUCGACACUCCUCGCUGAUUCCUGAACCAAAAUCGUACUUAGCUUCCUUUUUCUUAGCUUUUGCUCCAAAAUGUCUCCUUAUCUCCAUUGUUGUCCCAUUGCAUAGAAUACCUGAAAAGACACUAAAAACACUCGAGAAAUAACAUAAAAACUCAAAAUCUUAUACCUAAAACAUAGAUAAAAGCAGUGAAAAUCAGGUUAUAUCAGUGUCCUUUAACUCUUGAUUUCUCCAUGGAAAACCUAAAAAAAA